CAUUAGUGAAUUAAACAUGCUUGGUGUCUUCGCUUCGGCAAGACCCUUGCUUAAAUCACAUCCUAACACCUGUGAACUGUAAGGCGUAUGAUAAAGCUUCGGCUGCAUCGUCGUCUGCCCUUUUUAACAAACAAUUGAUGUAACAAACGUAGUCUUAUUAUAACCUAAUAAAACUUUCAACAACGGAUCUCUUGGCUCUCGCAUCGAUGAAGAACGCAGCGAAAUGCGAUAAGUAAUGUGAAUUGCAGAUUUCAGUGAACCAUCGAAUCUUUGAACGCACCUUGCGCUCUUUGGUAUUCCGAAGAGCAUGCCUGUUUGAGUGUCAUGAAAAUAUCAACCUUGACUUGGGUUUUGUGCUCGAGUCUUGGCUUGGAUGUGGGUGCUUGCCGCUUUAACGAGCGGCUCACCUUAAAUGUAUUAGCUGGAUCUGUCUUUGAGACUUGGUUUGACUUGGCGUAAUAAGUAUUUCGCUAAGGACAUUCUUCGGAAUGGCCUCGUUUCUGGGACGCUUGUCCGCUUUCCAAUACAAGUUCCAUUCGUGGACAUGACUUUUUAUUAUCUGGCCUCAAAUCAGGUAGGACUACCCGCUGAACUU
rnacentral:rRNA from 1 species